UACGUAGGGUGCGAGCGUUUGUCCGGAAUUAUUGGGCGUAAAGAGCUCGUAGGCGGUGUGUCACGUCGGCCGUGAAAACCUGCAGCUUAACUGUGGGCGUGCGGUCGAUACGGGUAUCACUGGAGUUCGGCAGGGGAGACUGGAAUUCCUGGUGUAGCGGUGAAAUGCGCAGAUAUCAGGAGGAACACCGGUGGCGAAGGCGGGUCUCUGGGCCGAUACUGACGCUGAGGAGCGAAAGCGUGGGGAGCAAACAGG
rnacentral:rRNA from 1 species